rnacentral:rRNA from 1 species
ACUCAAAUGAAUUGACGGGGACUCGCACAAGCGGUGGAUCAUGUGGUUUAAUUCGAUGAUACGCGAAGAACCUUACCAGGGCUAGAAAUCUACGGGAAGACCCUUCCAAAAGAGGGUCGUCUUCGGACUCGUAGACAGGUGAUGCAUGGCUGUCGUCAGCUCGUGGCUUGAGCUGUUCGGUUAAGUCCGCUAACGAGCGCAACCCCCAUCGUAUGUUUUAUAUGUCAUACGAGACUGCCCCCUCAGUGCACAGAAAGCAAUUUGCUUUGUGAAUACUGAGGGGGGAGGAAGGCGGGGACGACGCCAAGUCAGCAUGUCCCUUGAUGCCCUGGGCUACACACAUGAUACAAUGGGUGAUACAGUAGGCUGCGACGGGGUAACCCUGAGCCAAUCCUCAAAAUCAUCCUCAGUUCGGAUUGAGGUCUGCAACUCGACCUCAUGAAGUUGGAAUCGCUAGUAAUGGCAGGUCAGCACACUGCCGUGAAUACGUUCUCGAGUCUUGUACACACCGCCCGU